GGCCAGAUAAUUUAACAUAAAAUAUUUUGCUGUAAACGAAACAAUAAGAAAAAUAACUCUUUCCAGCCA
rnacentral:tRNA from 1 species